rnacentral:piRNA from 3 species
UCCUAAAACCUGACAGAAUCUGCUUACAAGG